UUUUUAUUUUUUUUACACAGGAACAUAGAAAUAGAGUUUUCCAUGAUUUCAGAAAUGGCCUCUGCCGCAAUCUUGUUUGCACUGACCUGUUUACCCGUGGUAUUGACAUCCAAGCUGUGAAUGUGGUGAUAAACUUUGACUUUCCAAAGCUGGCAGAAACGUAUCUCCAUCGCAUUGGUAGAUCAGGUCGCUUUGGUCAUCUUGGCCUUGCCAUCAACUUGAUCACCUACGAUGACAGAUUCAAUCUUAAAAGUAUUGAAGAGCAACUGGGGACAGAGAUAAAGCCCAUACCCAGCAGUAUCGACAAAAGCCUUUAUGUUGCUGAGUACCACAGUGAAUCGGGCACGGAUAAGCAUUAACCUACAAGUCAGUAUCCCAUAUUUGA